rnacentral:rRNA from 1 species
GACGAAGGUGGCGAGCGUUGUUCGGAAUCACUGGGCAUAAAGCGCACGUAGGCGGCUGGGUAAGUCGGAUGUGAAAUACCUCGGCUCAACCGAGGAACUGCGUCCGAUACUGCCUGGCUUGAGGUCCGGAGGGGAGAGUGGAAUUCCCGGUGGAGCGGUGAAAUGCGUAGAGAUCGGGAAGAACGCCGGCGGCGAAAGCGACUCUCUGGUCGGAAUCUGACGCUGAGGUGCGAAAGCUAGGGGAGCAAAC